CGACUAAGCCAUGCGAGUCAUGGGGCGCCUUGCGCGCACCGGCGGACGGCUCAGUAACACGUCGGUAACCUACCCUCGGGAGGGGGAUAACCCCGGGAAACUGGGGCUAAUCCCCCAUAGGCCUGAGGUACUGGAAGGUCCUCAGGCCGAAAGGGGCUCUGCCCGCCCGAGGAUGGGCCGGCGGCCGAUUAGGUAGUUGGUGGGGUAACGGCCCACCAAGCCGAAGAUCGGUACGGGCCAUGAGAGUGGGAGCCCGGAGAUGGACACUGAGACACGGGUCCAGGCCCUACGGGGCGCAGCAGGCGCGAAACCUCCGCAAUGCGGGCAACCGCGACGGGGGGACCCCCAGUGCCGUGGCAUCGCCACGGCUUUUCCGGAGUGUAAAGAGCUCCGGGAAUAAGGGCUGGGCAAGGCCGGUGGCAGCCGCCGCGGUAAUACCGGCGGCCCGAGUGGUGGCCGCUAUUAUUGGGCCUAAAGCGUCCGUAGCCGGGCCCGUAAGUCCCUGGCGAAAUCCCACGGCUCAACCGUGGGGCUUGCUGGGGAUACUGCGGGCCUUGGGACCGGGAGAGGCGGAGGGUACUCCUGGGGUAGGGGUGAAAUCCUAUAAUCCCAGGAGGACCGCCAGUGGCGAAGGCGCUCCGCUGGAACGGGUCCGACGGUGAGGGACGAAGGCCAGGGGAGCGAACCGGAUUAGAUACCCGGGUAGUCCUGGCUGUAAAGGAUGCGGGCUAGGUGUCGGGCGAGCUUCGUGCUCGCCCGGUGCCGAAGGGAAGCCGUUAAGCCCGCCGCCUGGGGAGUACGGCCGCAAGGCUGAAACUUAAAGGAAUUGGCGGGGGAGCACUACAAGGGGUGGAGCGUGCGGUUUAAUUGGAUUCAACGCCGGGAACCUCACCGGGGGCGACGGCAGGAUGAAGGCCAGGCUGAAGGUCUUGCCGGACACGCCGAGAGGAGGUGCAUGGCCGCCGUCAGCUCGUACCGUGAGGCGUCCACUUAAGUGUGGUAACGAGCGAGACCCGCGCCCCCAGUUGCCAGUCCUCCCCGCUGGGGAGGAGGCACUCUGGGGGGACCGCCGGCGAUAAGCCGGAGGAAGGAGCGGGCGACGGUAGGUCAGUAUGCCCCGAAACCCCCGGGCUACACGCGCGCUACAAUGAGCGGGACAAUGGGAUCCGACCCCGAAAGGGGAAGGUAAUCCCCUAAACCCGCUCCCAGUUCGGAUCGCGGGCUGCAACUCGCCCGCGUGAAGCUGGAAUCCCUAGUACCCGCGUGUCAUCAUCGCGCGGCGAAUACGUCCCUGCUCCUUGCACACACCGCCCGUCACUCCACCCGAGCGGGGUCUGGAUGAGGCCUGGUCUCCCUUCGGGGAGGCCGGGUCGAGUCUGGGCUCCGUGAGGGGGGAGAAGUCGUAACAAGGUAGCCGUAGGGGAACCUACGGCUCGAUCACCUCCUAGGGGAACCUACGGCUCGAUCACCUCCUAUCGCCGGAAAAUCCGUCCGGGGGGUUUAAGAGGUGUUGGGCCUGCCUUCCGUGGGCCGGUAGCUCAGCCUGGGAGAGCGUCGGCUUUGCAAGCCGAAGGCCCCGGGUUCGAAUCCCGGCCGGUCCACCACGAAGAGAUGCACAUCCCGAGCCCGGCUCGGGGUGGAAGGGUCCGAGAUCCCGAACAGGGAUCACGAUGAGGACCGUGCACAGGCCGAUUGACCCAAAAAAUGCCCAGCCCCCUGAGUAGGGGGCAGAAAACUUAAGCCGUCUGGUGGAUGGCU
rnacentral:rRNA from 1 species